GGGCUGGUAUAUCUCAGAGGAUUAGAACACGUGGAUACGAACCACGAUGUCGGGGGUUCGAGUCCCUCCUCGCCCA
rnacentral:tRNA from 1 species